GGUGGAAUUUUUCCUCUUGAUAGGAGGAAAGUGAAAUUUCUUCCACUU
rnacentral:tRNA from 1 species